rnacentral:rRNA from 1 species
AUUAUGAGUUAUGUUCUUUAAAUUUAAAUUAUAUGGCGGUGUUUUAUUUAUUCAGAGGAACCUGUUUCUUAAUUGAUAAUUCACGAUUUUAUUUACUUUGUUUUUAUAGCUUGUAUAUCGUCGUAUUUAAUUAUUUUAAUAAAAUUGUUAAUGGUUAAUAAUUUCUAUGAAGAUUUAAUUCAGAUCAAGAUGCAGUUUAUAGCAAAGAGUUUAAUGGGUUACAUUAAAAUAAUUUUUGGUUUAUAAUUUUUAAUAUAUUGUAAUAAAUUGGAUUUGAUAGUAAUAUUAUUUAAAUAUUUAAUAUGAUUUUAAUUUAAAAUAUGU